CAAUGGGCGCAAGCCUGAUGCAGCCAUGCCGCGUGUGUGAAGAAGGCCUUCGGGUUGUAAAGCACUUUCAGCGGGGAGGAAGGGGUUUGGGUUAAUACCUUGCGCCAUUGACGUUACCCGCAGAAUAAGCACCGGCUAACUCCGUGCCAGCAGCCGCGGUAAUACGGAGGGUGCAAGCGUUAAUCGGAAUUACUGGGCGUAAAGCGCGCGCAGGCGGUUUGUUAAGUCGGAUGUGAAAUCCCCGGGCUCAACCUGGGAACUGCAUUYGAAACUGGCAGGCUAGAGUCCGGUAGAGGGGGGUAGAAUUCCAGGUGUAGCGGUGAAAUGCGUAGAGAUCUGGAGGAACACCGGUGGCGAAGGCGGCCCCCUGGAC
rnacentral:rRNA from 1 species